GAAGCUGGAAUUGCUAGUAAUGGCAGGUCAGCAUACUGCCGUGAAUACGUUCCCGGGCCCUUGUACACACCGCCCGUCACACCAUGAGAGUUGGAAAUACCCGAAGCCUGUGAGCUAACUGUAAAGAGGCAGCAGUCGAAGGUAGAGCCAAUGAUUGGGGUGAAGUCGUAACAAGGUAUC
rnacentral:rRNA from 1 species